AGUGAAUGGUGGAAAAUGCAUGGUUAGCAAACCACUUGAACAGGGUUCUGCAUGGACUUACAUCAUGUUCCUUAGCGCUUGUUGUACUGUGACAUGACGCUGGCCUGGAGGUAGUCAACAAGAGCACAAUUCUGUUGCUUGCUGAAGGACGCCUUCAGUAUUGAAAAUACUCUUUCUGCCAUCAUGAUAGCAGACGAUGGUUGGACAAGGAGAACUUACUUCACUGCAGAAGCCCAACGAGGAAGUUGCUCCUCGUGCCCACACCACCAUUCGACUUUCUUCUCUUCAGUCGGGAUAACAACAUCUUCGGCAGCACAGCCAUCUUGUUUGUACAUGUACAGAUACAAACCAGAAUGCUGUGUGCUGAGACUUACAUGUAUUUGGAGAAAGAUUCAUAUUGAGGCAAUAGAUUCCAUUAUCAGUUUGUCAAACUUGAGUGAUCAAGGAAUUACAUAAAGGUUACAGGAAAAGAGAAAAGAGUUGUGCUGAGACUUGAGAGGAGAAAGAAUCAAAUUGAUACAUUGGAUCCCAUAGUAGAUACAAAACAGAGGAGCAAGGAAAAGAGCUGUGCUGAGACUCAAGAGGAGAAAGAAUCAAAUUGAUACAUUGGAUCCCAUAGUAUAUACAAAACAGAGGAGAAACAAUGAAAGCUAUGAGGAGAAAAAUUAAAUCAAUAUUGGACCCUCUAUUAGGUGAGUCACGAUUUUCUUUUGAAAGGAAGGGUGUAAGAUACUACUGUACAAUAUUCAGGACAUUGUUUUUCCUUUAUUUUAGCUUGCAUUUAUGUAUGUCUUUCUUCUUUUAUGAUAAUAAUAUCGUCUUUAAUUUAAAUAUUAAUUUAAAUUAACUUAGCAUGCAGCCAACGCCAACUUAUAUCUACAUGACAGUGACCAACUCGAAAGCUCAUUGGCUACUUUGGUCACUGUGCACAAUUAAAU
rnacentral:lncRNA from 1 species